rnacentral:rRNA from 1 species
GAUAACUUUGAAGAGAAAGCAAAAGCAGAUGCUGAUUUCUUCUACAGGAUAAGAUUGGACGAUGAGGACCGUGUCAGAAACAUGUAUUGGGUGGAUGGUGCUGCAAGAAGGGCCUACAAACAUUUCCGUGACUGCAUAUCCUUCGACACGACAUAUCUCACUAAUAUGUACAAGAUGCCCUGCGCUCCAUUCAUAGGAAUAAAUAACCACAAUCAGUCAUUGCAGUUCGGUUGCGGACUCGUUCGGAACAAAGAUAUGGAUGGUUACACUUGGCUGUUCAAAACCUUCUUGGAGUGCAUGGAUGGAUUUGCUCUGAUGAACAUAAUAACAGACCAGGAUUUUAGCAUGCGUGCAGGCAUAGGGGAGGUCUUUCCGUUGGCAGUGCACAGGCACUGCAUGUGGCAUAUUAUUAAAAAGGUCGAGGAGACGCUAGGACCAUUUUUUGCUGACCGUCCAGAGCUGCACAAGGCAUUCGAGUUAUGCGUGGACCACAGCCUGACGGUGGAGGAGUUUGAACGGAGUUGGACGGCUAUGAUUGAAACAUACCAAGUGCAAGACAACGAGACACUUACUGUCCUGUGGGAGAAGUGA